rnacentral:misc_RNA from 1 species
CCUCUCUUCCUUUUGCGUGCAAUUCAGCAAGGAUCUUUGAAGUGGCCAGAUCCUUUGCUUGCAUUAAAGAUCCCUCAAAAUAUCUAAAGGAAUAUAUAAGGGGGCUGGGUAAUUCUUGAUUCGCCUUAUAUACACUACCCUGAUCAUCGAUUUGAUUCGCAUCAGACUGUCAACAUAACUACUGAUCAUGAAACCUAAGGAUUGUGGACACAAGUCAAUUCUAAUGCCACUGGAGAGUAGUGAAUUCCAGCUACAACUUCAACAAUAUACUGCUAUCCUCAAUUGCAGGAAGCACAUCAGCUGUCCUUGCUAAGAAAGCAUGGCAGGAAAUAAUUAGUAAUCACAAACAUUAUAUAUAUAUAAUCUUCUAUCUUGAUUACAAAGAAUCGCAUUGUAAAGUUAUUCAAGACGAUUGAUGUCUGAAAAAAUCAGCACCAUCUUCAACAUCAUCAGUUCUGAUGCUUCCACUUUGAGCCAUAAGUAUUCUGUAGACUCGCUUUGAACAAAUCUGACCUACUCUUCUUUCACCACCAAGUAAACCUUCUGUGGUCAAGUCCUCGAGCAGAAAUUCCUUUUCAUGCACCGAUAUACUAGGAUCCAUGUAAACACGUAAAAGAGAUUUCAUGGUAGGAUACUUCUUCCAUAUAGCAACAGCAAAUCGUGGCUGCACCUUUGGGAUAGCUACCAAAGCUUUUAACCAUGGACUCUUUUUUAUUAAAUUCUUGUCAAUAGAGUCCUUCGGGAUAAGGGAACCAUUAGCGUUCACAGAUAGUCGCGUUAACUUAUUUCUAUAUUGGCAAGUUGCCAGGCUGCAAGUCAAACCCACAAUAUGUUCAGCGAGUUCAGCUUCAUCUCUACAAUGCCUAUGAUGUACCCUGGAAUAAUGAGUGGUCAGUUUUGCCAGGACCUCUUCAAUAGGUGGACAUCUCCAAGCAUUAUCAUUUUCUGGGUUCUUGUAUUGUUCCUUUUCCCUUUUAUUGAUAUAAGCCAUCAGCUUAUUUGUGAGAUAGCAAAUUGUAUAAGAUGGAUAACAAUUUUGAACUCUAGAAACAUGGUCCAGAAGUGAUUCAUUGAUAACAAGAUUGCAGAAUUCCUCAGCCUCAUAUACAAGUAACACAUACCGUACCUCGGUUCCUUCAGGAGAAAGCUGCAAAAUAUGUUCUGGAACACUCAUAGUCCAGACAAUUGAUUUUUCAAUUGGAUUUGAUGUUAUGCGGUAUGUAAGGCCUUUCUCAGCAAACCUGAUAAGCAAAUGUCCUCCAACUGAACCCUGUUCAACUACCUUAGAAUCAAACUCAGCAACUAUAGAUUUUAGAGCUAACUUCCCUUUUUCCCACUUCUGCUUUUCCUUCUCCAAUUUUUUCAGCUCUGCAGUUUGAGCCUUCAAAGCUGCUUUUUGCAACUUCUCUUGUUCUUUUUUGAGCUUUUUUUCUUCUGUUAAUCGAAUUCUUUCCUCUUUUGUCAUCUUCUUCUUCCCCGCUACCUUCUUUGUACUAUUCUUGUCAGAAUUAACGUUAGUUCUGGGUUUUACAGUCCUGCUCAUCUGUUCCAUGCUAAAAUCUUCUCUAUCAGGACUACUUACCUGAUUGAUAUCACCUUGCAAGAAAAUGGAUUGGGAAGAAGUGUCCCCUGAUGCUUGAGCCAGAUUACCAUCCCCAAGUGAAUCAAUGGAAGCAAAUAGUCUAGAACUCCACCCCGUCUUCUCUAUCUCAUCAUCACUAUUACCCAUUGUUGUGUUCUUCUGAUUUCCCAUUACAGAUUCACUUUCCGAUUCAUCAUUUUCGGAUUCCAAACACAUAAAUCCACAAUUUCCUGAGGGCUUUGGAUCGCAAUUGGAAACCACAAUUUGGGGAUUUGAAGUCCCCAUUGUGCAUUUCACGAUAGAGAUAUCAGACAUUGGAGUCUCGGCAACGAAAGAGGGAGUGGAGGAGAAUGAGGAGGAGGCAGGCCGUAGUUUCUGUGGGGUCGGGUCAUCGUCGAGCACGAGAAUAGUAGGGAGCGGGUCAGGUCCAGUUCUGGGUUUUUUGGGUAGAUACGGUAGUGGAGUCUUUUGGUCUUCGUCGUCGGAGAUGAUGAUUGGAUUAGACAUUGACGCAAAUAUGAAAGAGCAAAUUCGAGAGUGAAGAGUUUUUUGCUUCUAGCACCAUGACUCUGUUCGUCUUCGAAGAAGCGCGGGAUCGAUGAUGA